rnacentral:rRNA from 1 species
UACAGAGGUCUCAAGCGUUGUUCGGAUUCAUUGGGCGUAAAGGGUGUGUAGGUGGCGCGCUAAGUCGGGUGUGAAAUUUCGGAGCUUAACUCCGAAACUGCAUUCGAUACUGGCGUGCUUGAGGACUGGAGAGGAGACUGGAAUUCAUGGUGUAGCAGUGAAAUGCGUAGAGAUCAUGAGGAAGACCAGUGGCGAAGGCGGGGUCUCUGGACAGUUCCUGACACUGAGACACGAAAGGCCAGGGGAGCAAAACGGG